CUUUUCGGUCUCGCGAAUGCAUCUCAGAUUAGAGUUUGAUCCUGGCUCAGAGUGAACGCUGGCGGUAGGCCUAACACAUGCAAGUCGAACGGCAGCACAGGAGAGCUUGCUCUCUGGGUGGCGAGUGGCGGACGGGUGAGGAAUACAUCGGAAUCUACUCUGUCGUGGGGGAUAACGUAGGGAAACUUACGCUAAUACCGCAUACGACCUACGGGUGAAAGCAGGGGACCUUCGGGCCUUGCGCGAUUGAAUGAGCCGAUGUCGGAUUAGCUAGUUGGCGGGGUAAAGGCCCACCAAGGCGACGAUCCGUAGCUGGUCUGAGAGGAUGAUCAGCCACACUGGAACUGAGACACGGUCCAGACUCCUACGGGAGGCAGCAGU
rnacentral:rRNA from 1 species